rnacentral:tRNA from 1 species
AAUUUUAUAGUCUAAGGAAAAAAGGAUUUUGAAUUGCAAAUUCAAAGGUAAAAAAUAUUUUUAAAAUUU